rnacentral:rRNA from 1 species
AAUGAACGUUGGCGGCGUGGAUUAGGCAUGCAAGUCGUGCGAGAAGUUUCCUGCUUGCAGGAAACGGACAGCGGCGAAAGGGAGAGUGACGCGUGGGUACCUGCCCUCGGGACCGGAAUAGCUGCGGGAAACUGCAGGUAAUGCCGGAUAAUGUCCCCGGACCAAAGGUGUUAGCUGCCCGAGGAUGGGCCCGCGUCCUAUUAGCUUGUUGGUGGGGUAAUGGCCUACCAAGGCUUCGAUGGGUACCGGGCGUGAGAGCGUGGCCCGGCUCACUGGGACUGAGACACUGCCCAGACACCUACGGGUGGCUGCAGUCGAGAAUCUUCGGCAAUGGGCGAAAGCCUGACCGAGCGACGCCGCGUGUGGGAUGAAGGCCUUCGGGUUGUAAACCGCUGUCAGAGGGAAGGAAUGCUAGGUAAUCCCUAGUUUUGACCUAUCCUCAGAGGAAGUCCGGGCUAAGUUCGUGCCAGCCGCCGCGGUAAUU